GGAUGAGUCAAAUUAUUUUUAUUGUUCCACUGUGAUUGUGCCACACAGGCCUGAGAUCACACACAAAGUGCAGCACACACCUUGUAGGACAACACUCAUCACACAAGACAACAUAGAUCAUCCCCAUAAACACAGUAAAAAACAACAAAGAGUGCAACCAAUCAGAAAACUGAGAGAAUAAAAACAAAGAUCUGAGGAGUAUUAUUUGGCAUGGACCGUGUGGCUUGCCAGAACUGAGGAGUAUUAUUUGGCAUGGCCCGUGUGUCUUGCCAGAACUGAGGAGUAUUAUUUGGCAUGGCCCGUGUGGCUUGCCAGUGUUUGGUCCACUGGGACACAGAGAGGAGGCAUUUGACACAGUCAUUGUUCCAUCUCAGGUAGGUAAGUCGCACACCGUGCUGCUUUGGCCAGGUUAAAGUCAUGGGAGAUGUGGCAGUAAACAAGCGGAGAGUGCUGUUCCCAGGGAUCAAGGAGGAACCACCUCACUGAUCCUGUUCUACCGGUCUGUCCAUACUGUAAUCCACCCAUCUCCUUGGUCAUGACAGCUAUGUAUGGACUAUUUGGCCCUGUUAACAUUAGCACAGUUUCUCUCUAUAUAGUAGCCAACAACCUCAUAAUGACGAAACACAUAUUACUGCAUGUACUAUGUCAUUCAAGUUUACAUUUGUCAUACCUUUUGGGGAUCACAAGUACAGGUUGUGACCUUGAUAGCAUUGUACAGGCUUUGUGAAUGUAUUGUAUGAUAAGUGUAUCAAUGAAGUAGGAUUUGUACAUGAUAAUAUUUCAGAAACAAUAUAAACAGGUGAAUACAUGGUAUGAUAUGGUCAAUGAUAGGGUUGUUCCAUGAAAUAAGGGAUAUUUUAAGGAAUUGUGCACAAAUAAUUAACUUUAAAAGCCGGUUAUAUUAAAUGAAGUGCCUUUUAAUAUAGACCACAUGGACAAUUCAAUAAAUCCAAUAUGAAUAAAGACUUGCUAAAUUGCUCUCUGCAUUUUGUCAUGUCUCUCUGUGCACCCUCUAGCCACUGUGCUUCUACGCCUGCAUUGCUUGCUUUGAUUGAUUGGAACUUCUAGACUUUAACCCACUUAACCAAGAUGUAUCCACAUUUUCACCUUCAUUGUAAAGCCCUAGUUAUUUUGUUGCUUUGAUGAAGUCAUUUCUAAAGAUGAUUAUUUAUUUAAUGUGAUUAGUUAUUCAUUUUAAAAAGGUUUAAAAAAAACUGCCCAUUUUAAGGUCAAGUCUGUUACAUGAACAGAAAUCUCAUUUUAAUAUGCUAAAACUAUUCAUCUCAAAAAAAAAUGUUUUGAAGAAACAUUGAACAUCUAAUAGUCAUUGGCCAUUUUCUGGCGUUUUGUGGUGGAGAACUGAGCAGGUCGAGCAUCAACCCUGUUACCUAUAGACAGACAGGCUAUAAAUAUUUUAGAGGCCUGGUGCGGUCCUAAACGUGAUGUUAUUUACAUUUCCUCACUUUGAGGUUGGAAUAAUACUGUGAAACUGUGAAAAAGAUGAUAAUGCCAUUUUAGUGUAAGCAAUGUUUGAAAUGUCUGCCUGUUUUGGUUGAAUGGCGUUCUGGCCUGCCUGGUGACAUCACCGGUACAUUUGUUAAUAGACCAAUAAGAAAGAUAGUUCCAAACCUCUCUGCAGCUAGGUUUACAUUCUCCCCAGCCUACUCAGACCACUCCCAGACAGUCCAAGCAAAGUUCUUGCUUGAGAAAUUGUUCUUUGCUAAGAAGCUAUUUUUGUUUUCUUGUUGACCAUUUCAAUUGAAAACUAUCACAUUAAGGUACUUCACUGUUACCCAGAAAUGAUUUGAUAUUGAGAUUAAAAACAGCUGCAUUGGAUGGUAACAAAAAUAGAACAUUUUGAAGCUUGCAUUCAAUUGCCCGUCCCUGUUGCACACAAAAAGCUUCCAUUUCCUCUGUCACAAGGGGAGUUAUGGCUGAUUUAAGAUGAAAGUCAUCAAUCCUGUUACUUUAUUCAGCACUUAAUAGGCCUUACUAUAGUCAUUUUCUUUUACCUCUUGAGAUGGGAAAACAUGUUUUUUAUUCAGUUGAACAUUGACCGAAUGUUAAAAUGAGGUGAAAUAAAAUUCUAAAAUGCAGUUACACUACUCAAAAGGCAUCUAAUUAGUGGAACCACCCAAUACCUUUGUGAAUAUAAAAAGGCAAAAGCAGGAUACAAAGGAAGAUGCUGUUUACGAUCAACGCUAUUGGUUCGUCUUUCCCACAGAGAGAAUUUACAGUACUGUACAAUUUAAAAUAAAACAUGGUAAACAUUUUUAAAAAGUAAACAAAAGUAAACAUUUUAAAAUCUCUAUACCAUUGCAUUGCUUUUGGAGUAAUAGCAAUCGAGUCAAACGUUUGGUUGUGUUCCUGAGAGACUCAUGUGGCCUGCAUGCCUGUCCCCAGUGGCUGAGGCCCCAGGCUGGAUGUCCAGCAAUGUCCAGUGGGGCCUGGGUGGGGAUGGAAUGGGGGACAGGGGGUGGGCCUGGUUGUCUGGUCCUGUCCUGUGGAUUACCUGAGUGAGGGGCUGGCAACGAGACGCAGGUGGCUGGGCUUGGUGGGGAUGGAGGGCUUGUUGCCGUGGGGGAGAGGGGUCUGUGUGGAGGGGGUGGGGCAUGUCACACUGAAGGUCUUCAUGAGCUGAGCCACCCGGCCACGCCCUGUACAGGUGUCCCCGCCCCCAUCAGACACCACAUCCUCAGACAUGGUCCUGCGAGAGGCUGCGAUCACACGGAUAUCUGGGAGAGGUAGAC
ensembl:lncRNA